GACAGAGGCCUCAAGCGUUAGGCGGAAUCACUGGGCUUAAAGCGCGUGUAGGCGGCUAUGUAAGUCGGGCGUGAAAUCCCACGGCUCAACCGUGGAAGUGCACCCGAAACUGCGUAGCUAGAGUCCUGGAGAGGAAGGUGGAAUGCUUGGUGUAGAGGUGAAAUUCGUAGAUAUCAAGCGGAACACCGGUGGCGAAGGCGGCCUUCUGGACAGUGACUGACGCUGAGACGCGAAAGCGUGGGGAGCAAACAGG
rnacentral:rRNA from 1 species